AAUGGGUCAGCGACUUAUAUUCUGUAGCAAGGUUAACCGUAUAGGGGAGCCGAAGGGAAACCGAGUCUUAACUGGGCGUUAAGUUGCAGGGUAUAGACCCGAAACCCGGUGAUCUAGCCAUGGGCAGGUUGAAGGUUGGGUAACACUAACUGGAGGACCGAACCGACUAAUGUUGAAAAAUUAGCGGAUGACCUGUGGCUGGGGGUGAAAGGCCAAUCAAACCGGGAGAUAGCUGGUUCUCCCCGAAAGCUAUUUAGGUAGCGCCUCGUGAACUCAUCUUCGGGGGUAGAGCACUGUUUCGGCUAGGGGGCCAUCCCGGCUUACCAACCCGAUGCAAACUACGAAUACCGAAGAAUGUUAUCACGGGAGACACACGGCGGGUGCUAACGUCCGUCGUGAAGAGGGAAACAACCCAGACCGCCAGCUAAGGUCCCAAAGUCAUGGUUAAGUGGGAAACGAUGUGGGAAGGCACAGACAGCCAGGAUGUUGGCUUAGAAGCAGCCAUCAUUUAAAGAAAGCGUAAUAGCUCACUGGUCGAGUCGGCCUGCGCGGAAGAUGUAACGGGGCUAAACCAUGCACCGAAGCUGCGGCAGCGACACUAUGUGUUGUUGGGUAGGGGAGCGUUCUGUAAGCCGUUGAAGGUGUGCUGUGAGGCAUGCUGGAGGUAUCAGAAGUGCGAAUGCUGACAUAAGUAACGAUAAAGCGGGUGAAAAGCCCGCUCGCCGGAAGACCAAGGGUUCCUGUCCAACGUUAAUCGGGGCAGGGUGAGUCGACCCCUAAGGCGAGGCCGAAAGGCGUAGUCGAUGGGAAACAGGUUAAUAUUCCUGUACUUGGUGUUACUGCGAAGGGGGGACGGAGAAGGCUAUGUCAGCCGGGCGACGGUUGUCCCGGU
rnacentral:rRNA from 1 species